GAUAAACGCUGGCGGCGUGCUUAACACAUGCAAGUCGAACGAAGUUUUUCCUUCGGGCGACCCUUAGUGGCGGACGGGUGAGUAACGCGUGGGUAACCUGCCCUGUACAGGGGGACAACAGCUGGAAACGGCUGCUAAUACCGCAUAAGCACUUAGCACUGCAUGGUGCAUAGGGAAAAGGAGCAAUCCGGUACAGGAUGGACCCGCGUCUGAUUAGCCAGUUGGCAGGGUAACGGCCUACCAAAGCGACGAUCAGUAGCCGAUCUGAGAGGAUGUACGGCCACAUUGGGACUGAGACACGGCCCAGACUCCUACGGGAGGCAGCAGUGGGGAAUAUUGCACAAUGGAGGAAACUCUGAUGCAGCGACGCCGCGUGAGUGAAGAAGUAUUUCGGUAUGUAAAGCUCUAUCAGCAGGGAAGAAAAUGACGGUACCUGACGAAGAAGCACCGGCUAAAUACGUG
rnacentral:rRNA from 1 species